rnacentral:rRNA from 1 species
AGUGGCGCACGGGUGAGUAACGCGUGGGUAACCUACCCUCAGGUGGGGGAUAACUUCGCGAAAGCGGGGCUAAUACCGAAUAACAUAUCGAUUUCCUCGGGAGUUGGUAUCAAAGGUGGCCUCUGCAUGCAAGCUACUGCCUAAGGAUGGGCCCGCGUACCAUUAGCUAGUUGGCAGGGUAAUAGCCUACCAAGGCAACGAUGGUUAGCUGGUCUGAGAGGAUGGCCAGCCACACUGGAACUGAGACACGGUCCAGACUCCUACGGGAGGCAGCAGUGGGGAAUCUUGCGCAAUGGGGGAAACCCUGACGCAGCAACGCCGCGUGGGUGAUGAAGGCCUUCGGGUCGUAAAGCCCUGUCAGGUGGGAAGAACCAUAUCGAUUCGAAUAGGGUCGGUAUCUGACGGUACCACCGGAGGAAGCACCGGCUAACUCCGUGCCAGCAGCCGCGGUAAUACGGAAGGUGCAAGCGUUGUUCGGAAU